rfam:Ovis aries breed Texel chromosome 1, whole genome shotgun sequence.
UCCCUCAUAGCUCAGUCGGUAAAGAAUCUGCCUGCAGUGCAGGAGACCUGGGUUCGAUUCCUGGGUUGGGAA